AAAAUACUCCCUCGGUUCGGAAAUACUCUUCAUUGAAAUGGAUGUAUCUAGAUGUAUUUUAGUUCUAGAUACAUUCAUUUUGGUAACAAGUAAUUCCGAACGGAGGGAGUAUGUC
rfam:Triticum aestivum genome assembly, contig: Triticum_aestivum_CS42_TGACv1_scaffold_157949_2DL